rnacentral:rRNA from 1 species
GUUAAGCGACUAAGCGUACACGGUGGAUGCCCUGGCAGUCAGAGGCGAUGAAGGACGUGCUAAUCUGCGAUAAGCGUCGGUAAGGUGAUAUGAACCGUUAUAACCGGCGAUUUCCGAAUGGGGAAACCCAGUGUGAUUCGUCACACUAUCAUUAACUGAAUCCAUAGGUUAAUGAGGCGAACCGGGGGAACUGAAACAUCUAAGUACCCCGAGGAAAAGAAAUCAACCGAGAUUCCCCCAGUAGCGGCGAGCGAACGGGGAGCAGCCCAGAGCCUGAAUCAGUGUGUGUGUUAGUGGAAGCGUCUGGAAAGGCGCGCGAUACAGGGUGACAGCCCCGUACACAAAAAUGCACAUGCUGUGAGCUCGAUGAGUAGGGCGGGACACGUGGUAUCCUGUCUGAAUAUGGGGGGACCAUCCUCCAAGGCUAAAUACUCCUGACUGACCGAUAGUGAACCAGUACCGUGAGGGAAAGGCGAAAAGAACCCCGGCGAGGGGAGUGAAAAAGAACCUGAAACCGUGUACGUACAAGCAGUGGGAGCACGCUUAGGCGUGUGACUGCGUACCUUUUGUAUAAUGGGUCAGCGACUUAUAUUCUGUAGCAAGGUUAACCGAAUAGGGGAGCCGAAGGGAAACCGAGUCUUAACUGGGCGUUAAGUUGCAGGGUAUAGACCCGAAACCCGGUGAUCUAGCCAUGGGCAGGUUGAAGGUUGGGUAACACUAACUGGAGGACCGAACCGACUAAUGUUGAAAAAUUAGCGGAUGACUUGUGGCUGGGGGUGAAAGGCCAAUCAAACCGGGAGAUAGCUGGUUCUCCCCGAAAGCUAUUUAGGUAGCGCCUCGUGAAUUCAUCUCCGGGGGUAGAGCACUGUUUCGGCAAGGGGGUCAUCCCGACUUACCAACCCGAUGCAAACUGCGAAUACCGGAGAAUGUUAUCACGGGAGACACACGGCGGGUGCUAACGUCCGUCGUGAAGAGGGAAACAACCCAGACCGCCAGCUAAGGUCCCAAAGUCAUGGUUAAGUGGGAAACGAUGUGGGAAGGCCCAGACAGCCAGGAUGUUGGCUUAGAAGCAGCCAUCAUUUAAAGAAAGCGUAAUAGCUCACUGGUCGAGUCGGCCUGCGCGGAAGAUGUAACGGGGCUAAACCAUGCACCGAAGCUGCGGCAGCGACGCUUAUGCGUUGUUGGGUA